AGAACUUCAGCGCGCAAACUGCAUUUAGGAAAAGGUGCACAAGGAAUUUGUCAAAAGGAAGGCAGAUUUGAAAUUUGGAGAGCAUUAGUGAUCAGCUAGAAUAUUCAGUAUGUGGUUAAAUAUUUAAUAUGUGUGACUGUGCCUCUUUAAAAUCAGAAGCCCUAUAUUAUGUAUAUAUUUUAAAUGACAUUUGAACAAAAACAUAAAAGGUAUCUGAAAGAGAUGAAGGGCAUUUCUAGACUUGGAAAACCUCUCAGGUUCGAUAAUACCAUUCUAAGUCAUCUAAAUUCAUACCUAUUAUCACUUAAGUGAACACUGAUGCUGCCAACUGCAUCAUAUACAAAUAUUCAGAUUUUUGUUUUUCACAUCAUCCUGAAGGUUAUCUCUCCGGUUGCUCUGAAAAUCAGGUGACAACCGUUUCCCAUGAUGCUUUAAGGGCUGUCAAACUGUCCAUCAAACUGCCACCUGACCAGUCGUUCCCAUGGUUCUUUUAGACUUCCAGUAUGAUAAAUUGAAAGGCACUAUUAUCUGGCGGUUGUGAAGGGGAACUGUUUAGGCUUUGAUAAGAUAUCACUACUCCCAGGGUACUGGUGAUGCUGGUGUUACUAACUUCAGGACCACUUUUUGGGGUUCCAGAUGCUGUAUCAUGAUUCUCACCUUAAAGGCUCGGGAGCCUGACGUCUACCUGAUCAAGAUCUUUCAAGAAUGGACUCACAGUGACAAGCCCACCAGACUGAAUUGUGAAAAAACAACCUACACAAUGGGGAAAAACUUUGCCAGCUAUUAUUCCUUGGACAAAGGACUAAUAUUGAGAGUAUAUGGAGAAUUAAAAAUAGUUGGAUGUCUAAAAAUAAAAGAUCCAAUCAAA